GGGGAAAUAGCUCAGUGGUAGAGCACAUGCUUAGCAUGCACAAGGUCCUGGGUUGAAUCCCCUGUACCUCCA
rnacentral:tRNA from 1 species